ACUCCCUAUAUGUUAUUAUUUUUUUCUCCUUUUUCCAUUCCUUUAAAAAGAUCACCUAUUUCCCAAUGCAAGAGAUCUUGCCAACAACUGUAAUUUAAGGGGGUUCGAUGGUUGUGGCUACUUUUAGACUGAAUUGAUCUAUAUAAAAAUAUUGGAAAAUACACAAUUUUCAUACGUAAAAUUUAUGGAAUUUUUCUUUACUAAACAAUAUAUAACCUGUCUAAUCAUAUCUUGAAAUUUUCAGUAGAUCUGAUGGUUAGUCUGUUGACCAUCCAGCCUCCUUUAAGUAUUACAAGAAUGCACACUGAAAUGCAAGAAAAACAAACUAUAUUAUACUCCAAAGUUAACUUAAAAUACCUUGAAACUUGCCAUUAGUAAUGAAGUCUAGCUUCCAUGUCAUUUUAUGAAGACUAAUGAGUAUAAAUUCCUCAUUCCCUAUUUUUUUUUCUAAUUUGAAACUUUUUUGUACUGUAGAAGUUAUUUUUACUGUUGUUUUAAUUAAUUGGUAAUGUUUCUGUUGUUAUGUCACAAUCAGAUAUCGGUUUGAAAUAAAAUAAUGAUUGC
rnacentral:misc_RNA from 1 species